rnacentral:rRNA from 1 species
GUCGGGAGUUAGGAAAUGUAGAAAUGUUAAUAGCAUUUCUAUUUGACUAAGGCUCCAGAGGAAGCCACGGCUAACUCUGUGCCAGCAGCCGCGGUAAUACAGAGGUGGCAAGCGUUGUUCGGAAUUAUUGGGCGUAAAGAGCACGUAGGCGGCCUUGCAAGUCAGUUGUGAAAGCCUUUCGCUCAACGGAAGAACGGCAGCUGAUACUACAGGGCUAGAGUACGGGAGGGGAGAGUGGAACUUCUGGU